AGGAUCAUUCGCAAUGGGGGAAACCCUGACGAUGCGACGCUGCGUGGAGGAUGAAGGCCUUCGGGUCGUAAACUCCUGUCAUGACGGAAAAGGAGAGGGGUGCCAACACCACCCUUAUUUGAUGGUACGUCAAGAGGAAGAGACGGCUAACUCUGUGCCAGCAGCCGCGGUAAUACAGAGGUCUCUAGCGUUGUUCGGGUUUACUGGGCGUAAAGGGCGCGUAGGCGGCGCGGCGUGUCGAGUGUGAAAUCUCCGGGCUCAACCCGGAAAGUGCGCUCGAAACUGCCGUGCUCGAGUGCGGGAGAGGGAAUCGGAAUACAGGGUGUAGCGGUGAAAUGCGUUGAUAUCCUGUAGAACACCGGAGGCGAAGGCGGAUUCCUGGAACGCAACUGACGCUGAGGCGCGAAAGUCGGGGGAGCAAACA
rnacentral:rRNA from 1 species